rnacentral:rRNA from 1 species
UACGGGGGGGGCAAGCGUUGUUCGGAAUUACUGGGCGUAAAGGGCUCGUAGGCGGCCAACUAAGUCGGAUGUGAAAUCCCCAGGCUCAACCUGGGAACUGCAUCCGAUACUGGAUGGCUUGAAUUCGGGAGAGGGAUGCAGAAUUCCAGGUGUAGCGGUGAAAUGCGUAGAUAUCUGGAGGAACACCGGUGGCGAAGGCGGCGUCCUGGACCAAUACUGACACUGAAACGCGAAAGCCAGGGGAGCAAACGGG